GACGAACGCUGGCGGCGUGCUUAACACAUGCCAGUCGAACGGAAAGGCCCUGCUUUUGUGGGGUGCUCGAGUGGCGAACGGGUGAGUAACACGUGAGUAACCUGCCCUUGACUUUGGGAUAACUUCAGGAAACUGGGGCUAAUACCGGAUAGGAGCUCCUGCUGCAUGGUGGGGGUUGGAAAGUUUCGGCGGUUGGGGAUGGACUCGCGGCUUAUCAGCUUGUUGGUGGGGUAGUGGCUUACCAAGGCUUUGACGGGUAGCCGGCCUGAGAGGGUGACCGGCCACAUGGGGACUGAGGUACGGCCCAGACUCCUACGGGAGGCAGCAGGGGGGAAUAUUGCACAAUGGGGGGAAGCCUGAUGCAGCAACGCCGCGUGCGGGAUGACGGCCUUCGGGUUGUAAACCGCUUUCGCCUGUGACGAAGCGUGAGUGACGGUAAUGGGUAAAGAAGCACCGGCUAACUACGUG
rnacentral:rRNA from 1 species